GAUGAACGCUAGCGGCAGGCUUAACACAUGCAAGUCGAGGGGCAGCAUGACGGAACUUUCGGGUUUUGCUGAUGGCGACCGGCGCAAGGGUGCGUAACGCGUGAGCAACUUGCCCGUUUCUGGGGAAUAACCGUUGGAAACGACGACUAAUACCCCAUGGUAUCAGGUUUAGGCAUCUUUAUCUGAUUAAAGAAUUUCGGAAACGGAUAGGCUCGCGUGACAUUAGCUAGAUGGCGGGGUAACGGCCCACCAUGGCGACGAUGUCUAGGGGUUCUGAGAGGAACGGUCCCCCACACUGGAACUGAGACACGGUCCAG
rnacentral:rRNA from 1 species